rnacentral:rRNA from 1 species
AUUGAACGCUGGCGGCGGGCUUAACACAUGCAAGUCGAGCGGAGAUGAGGUGCUUGCACCUUAUCUUAGCGGCGGACGGGUGAGUAAUGCUUAGGAAUCUGCCUAUUAGUGGGGGACAACAUUCCGAAAGGAAUGCUAAUACCGCAUACGCCCUACGGGGGAAAGCAGGGGAUCUUCGGACCUUGCGCGAAUAGAUGAGCCUAAGUCGGAUUAGCUAGUUGGUGGGGUAAAGGCCUACCAAGGCGACGAUCUGUAGCGGGUCUGAGAGGAUGAUCCGCCACACCGGGACUGAGAAACGGCCCAGACUCCUACGGGAGGCAGCAGUGGGGAAUAUUGGACAAUGGGGGGAACCCUGGUCCAGCCAUGCCGCGUGUGUGAAGAAGGCCUUUUGGUUGUAAAGCACUUUAAGCGAGGAGGAGGCUACCGAGAUUAAUACUCUUGGAUAGUGGACGUUACUCGCAGAAUAAGCACCGGCUAACUCUGUGCCAGCCGCCGCAGUAAUAC